AUUGAACGCUGGCGGCAUGCCUUACACAUGCAAGUCGAACGGCAGCACGGGAGCAAUCCUGGUGGCGAGUGGCGAACGGGUGAGUAAUAUAUCGGAACGUGCCCAGUCGUGGGGAUAACGUAGCGAAAGCUACGCUAAUACCGCAUACGAUCUAUGGAUGAAAGCGGGGGAUCGCAAGACCUCGCGCGAUUGGAGCGGCCGAUAUCAGAUUAGGUAGUUGGUGAGGUAAAGGACUCACCAAGCCGACGAUCUGUAGCUGGUCUGAGAGGACGACCAGCCACACUGGGACUGAGACACGGCCCAGACUCCUACGGAGGCAGCAGUGGGGAAUUUUGGACAAUGGGCGCAAGCCUGAUCCAGCAAUGCCGCGUGCAGGAUGAAGGCCUUC
rnacentral:rRNA from 1 species